rnacentral:rRNA from 1 species
AUCGAACGCUGGCGGCAGGCCUAACACAUGCAAGUCGAGCGAGCGGCGGACGGGUGAGUAAUGUAUGGGGACCUGCCCGAUAGAGGGGGAUAACUACUGGAAACGGUGGCUACUACCGCAUACUAUCGGAUGAACCCAUAGGGGAUUAGCUAGUAGGGGGGGUAAAGGCUAACCUAGGCGACGAUCUCCCGCUGGUCUGAGAGGAUGAUCAGCCACACUGGGACUGAGACACGGCACAGACUCCUACGGGAGGCAGCAGUGGGGAAUCUUGCACAAUGGGCGAAAGCCUGAUGCAGCCAUGCCGCGUGUAUGAAGAAGGCCUUCGGGUUGUAAAGUACUUUCAGUGGGGAUGCGUUACCCGCAGAAGAAGCACCGGCUAACUCCGUGCCAGCAGCCGCGGUAAUUC